rnacentral:misc_RNA from 1 species
UCGGAUGGCAGCGUGAUGCGGC